rnacentral:rRNA from 1 species
UACGACUACAUAUCAGGCAUAUCAAUAAGCGGAGGAAAAGAAACUAACAAGGAUUCCCUUAGUAACGGCGAGUGAAGCGGGAAGAGCUCAAAUUUGAAAUCUUCAAGGUUUUACCUUGACGAAUUGUAGUUUAAAGAAGUGUUUUCUGUUGAAGUUUUGGUAAAAGUUCUUUGGAAUAGGACAUCAUAGAGGGUGAGAAUCCCGUAUUUGACCAUUAUUUUCAGCUGUGUGAUACACUUUCAAAGAGUCGGAUUGUUUGGGAAUGCAGUCCAAAAUGGGUGGUAAAUUUCAUCUAAAGCUAAAUAUUGGCGAGAGACCGAUAGCGAACAAGUACCGUGAGGGAAAGAUGAAAAGAACUUUGAAAAGAGAGUUAAACAGUACGUGAAAUUGUCAAAAGGGAAGCGUUUGACACCAGUGUUGUUUUCUCGAAAAUCAAUUAAAAAAAGUUGGAUUUUGUGUUGUAUUGACCUUAACAGCUUGCUUCACUCUUUUCCAGCUUUUUUUAAUGCACUUUUCGUUUAACAAGUCAACAUCAGUUUCUUUUGUUGUAAAAGGGUCAUUGGAAGGUGGCUUUCUCUUCGGAGAAAGUGUUUAUAGCCUUUGAUCUCUGCAAUCGGAGAGACUGAGGUCUGCAGCGUAGAUCCUUCGGGGUUAGAUACAUUGGUGCUAAGCUACAGCUUGUCAUAGACAACUUGUUGACUAUGUUAGUCAUUGUAGCUUACUCGCUGAUGCUAUUUUACCUACGCUUAGGAUGUUGAGCGCAUGUCUCUCUCU